rnacentral:lncRNA from 1 species
UAUUGCAACAAACUGAAAACGUUUUUUUGAUGUCAUUUAGGAAAUUACAUAGUGAUAGAGCUUAGGGUCAAGAACUAGCACAAGUAGGAAGUGCUUGCUUCAAUUUAGUCUAUAGAGUGUUUACAAGUUAAACUGGUCAUGUUUUACGUGAUUGUUUGCAAUCUUUUAUUUGUCUGAAUAUUUGGAGUGGAUCUUCUAAGUCUUAGGAAGUAUUACUGUGCAUACGACAAGCGAUGAACACUUUCUUUUAGAGUAGAGCAUACUACUGUUUGACAGAAAAGUGUCUACAAGCGACUAGGUCUGGGCUUUCCAGCGAAGGCCGCACCCAAGGUAUUUGAAAGAUUCUGAAUUGAGAAAAGAAAAGGAAAAGAGAUUCUUCGCUGCUUCUAGUGCAACUUACCACCCUCUAGGUUCAAAUUUUCGACAAUGAUAUGAUGCUUUGUACAAGUCGAAAGGUUGAAGGGAUGUCAAGCAUAUAUCUGGCCAUUGUUUCCUAGGACAAGAGAGACCUCACGAUCCACUUUCCAAUAUUUUCAUCAUUCUAGCCUUCUCCCAUCCCGAUGGUGUGGCUCUAUAGCACAACAGUCAUGAAAAUUAAAUGACGGCUGUCAAUUAACCAGACCCCAAAAAAGUCGUUAUUUAUAUCUUAGGGUGGCAACUUUAGCCAAUAGAGCCAUGGAUUGGGUGGCUGCUUAUGCAGUCAGCCAUUCCGGUGGUACUCUGUGGACCAGCGAGGAAGAGCUGCCUAGCGCACUUCGUGCUAUUUUGUUUUCUGACUUCAUUGGGUGUGUUCGUAUCCGUGUGGUAUGUCUUACCCGCUUAAGCAAGCAAAAAAAAAGAAAGAAUUAGCACCAAAUCCUAAAAUGAUAAUUCUAGGACAUGAAGUUCAUGGCUGCAAUUUAAGCUCAUGCAAGAAAGAAGCAAUCCUUCGUCUCUUAGAUGGAGAAACAUUGAGAUAAGAUCACAUUUUUUUGGUGUAGAAAACUGCAACAACACAGACAGACAGACAGACACACAGAGAGAGAGAGAGAGAGAGAGAGAGAGAGAGAGAG